rnacentral:rRNA from 1 species
AACGAACGCUGGCGGCAUGCCUAACACAUGCAAGUCGAACGAGACCUUCGGGUCUAGUGGCGCACGGGUGCGUAACGCGUGGGAAUCUGCCCUUCGGUUCGGAAUAACUCAGGGAAACUUGAGCUAAUACCGGAUAAUGACGUAAGUCCAAAGAUUUAUCGCUGAAGGAUGAGCCCGCGUAGGAUUAGCUUGUUGGUGGGGUAAUGGCCCACCAAGGCGACGAUCCUUAGCUGGUCUGAGAGGAUGAUCAGCCACACUGGGACUGAGACACGGCCCAGACUCCUACGGGAGGCAGCAGUGGGGAAUAUUGGACAAUGGGCGAAAGCCUGAUCCAGCAAUGCCGCGUGAGUGAUGAAGGCCUUAGGGUUGUAAAGCUCUUUUACCCGGGAUGAUAAUGACAGUACCGGGAGAAUAAGCUCCGGCUAACUCCGUGCCAGCAGCCGCGGU